GACGAACGCUGGCGGCGUGCUUAACACAUGCAAGUCGAACGGUGAAGCGCCUUCCUUUUUGGUGGGUGUGGAUGAGUGGCUAACGGGUGAGUAACACGUGAGUAACCUGCCCCCUUCUUCUGGAUAACCGCAUGAAAGUGUGGCUAAUACGGGAUAUUCUGGGUCUGUCGCAUGAUGGGUCUGGGAAAGAUAUUGUUUCGGAGGGGGAUGGGCUCUCGUCCUUUCAGCUUGUUGGUGGGGUGAUGGGCUACCUAGGCGGAGACGUGUAGCCGGCCUGGGCGGGUUUGCGGUUCCACUGGGGCGGCAACCCGGCCAGGACUGCAAGGGGCGGCACCAGCGGGCACUAUAGCACAAUGCGCGCGAGCCUGAUGAAGCAGCGCCGCGUGAGGGACGGUGGCCUUAGGGUUGUGAACCUUGUUCGCAAGUGAAGCAGGCCUGCCUCGUUUGUGGGUGGCUUGACGGUAGCUGGAUAAGAAGCGACGGCUAACUACGUG
rnacentral:rRNA from 1 species